CAUGCAAGUCGAACGAUGAACCAGGGCUUGCCCUGGGGAUUAGGUGGCGAACGGGUGAGUAACACGUGGCAACCUGCCCCAGACACCGGGAUAACCUCUCGAAAGAGUGGCUAAUACCGGAUAUGACCACUUCGGGCAUCCGACGGUGGUGGAAAGGAUUCUGGUCUGGGAUGGGCCCGCGGCCUAUCAGCUAGUUGGUGGGGUAAUGGCCUACCAAGGCGACGACGGGUAGCCGGCCUGAGAGGGCGACCGGCCACACUGGGACUGAGACACGGCCCAGACUCCUACGGGAGGCAGCAGUGGGAAUAUUGCGCAAUGGGCGAAAGCCUGACGCAGCGACGCCGCGUGAGGGACGAAGGUCUUCGGAUUGUAAACCUCUUUCAGCAGGGACGAAGCGAAAGUGACUGUACCUGCAGAAGAAGCACCGGCUAACUACGUG
rnacentral:rRNA from 1 species